AAGACCACCAUUGUCCAUCUCCACACCUCUUAUGAUGGAAUCCCCAACAACAACUGCUUUCUAUUAGGCCUCACCACAGUCUCCAAGCCUGUCUCCACAACACCACACUCCCGCGCCAGUUUUGUCGCGAAAGGCCCAGCCUCCAUAUCUGAGAUCAUCAAUCUCUUUGGUGUGCAUUCAACGUCUCCAUGCAGAACGUGGAAACACUGAACCUAGCUGCUG